GCCUGCGUGGCAUAGUGGUUUGGGCAUUGGACUAUAACUCUGGAGACAAGGGUUCACUUCUCAGCUCAGCCA